rnacentral:rRNA from 1 species
CCUACGGGAGGCAGCAGUGGGGGAUAUUGCACAAUGGGGGGAACCCUGAUGCAGCGACGCCGCGUGGGUGAAGAAGGGCCUCGGCGCGUAAAGCCCUGUCAGCAGGGAAGAAAAUGACGGUACCUGAAGAAGAAGCCCCGGCUAACUACGUGCCAGCAGCCGCGGUAAUACGUAGGGGGCAAGCGUUAUCCGGAUGUACGGGGUUGAAAGCGGGCUCAGACGGCGGGGCAAGCCAGGAGUGAAAGCCCGGGGCCAAACCCCGGGACUGCUCUUGUAACUGCGUGGCUGGAGUGCAUGAGGGGCAGGCGGAAUGCCUGGUGUAGCGGUGAAAUGCGUAGAUAUCAGGAGGAACACCGGUGGCGAAGGCGGCCUGCUGGACUGCAACUGACGUUGAGGCACGAAAGCGUGGGGAGCAAACAGGAUUAGAUACCCUUGUAGUC